rnacentral:piRNA from 1 species
UGAGGUUUGGCGGACAUCUCUGUGCCCUG